AAGUUAGAAACUGGAAAGUUUGGGAAGUUUAUUUUAUUCUUUUGCAAAAGUUGAAGACUGUAAGAAAAAGUUUGUAAGGAUGGAGCAGCUGCUGGAUCCAGCUGGGUUUUCAACAAUAUUACUGGAAUGUGAAAUCCGAGUAGCAGGUGCACAAUGGUGAGUUAUAGUGGACAGGUUCCUCUUCCUAACACACAUGUGGGCACACAUAGCAGAUGCAGCGGAGAUGUGCACCAAGGUAACUCAUUUUCUCCCUCUAACGCUCUCCCUCGCUGUGUUGUGCCAGGAGUCAAUAAAGCUUAAAAGAGCAGGGGACUUUGGCUGGCCUGCUCUUUUGUGUCCAGACACACUGCCACUCGCACAAAAGUUCCUCUUGAGGAGAAAAAUAGACAACACUGGUUCCUGUCAUCCAUCACAGGGGGGCAUUUAGGGGAAUUGCAAAGUGUUUGCUCAAGCCUCAAUUAAAAUGCACGGCCCGUCACUGUGUUCCUGUGCUUAACCUUGGCUUGCCCACUUCACACUUGCUCUCACUUCACUUGACUUCAGAGAGAGCGAACAUUAGGGUGCUCAAAUGCAUGGAAAAGCACGUUCACGCACACACACACGCAUACAAACAGAUACAGUGCAUCUACUCUAGGCUGGCCAAGUCAGUCCUUACUCUGGUGAUUCACUUCAUUAGCAUUCUUUACAUCUCCCUCCAAUGCUCUUAGUGCUGAAGGACAUCUACCAACACACACAAGCACACACUGAUGCAAAGCUAGCCUUAGCUGAGCUUCCAGCAUGAAGCCCUUCUCUGGAUGAGGUGUGCUGUUUUAUCGUAGCAGCUGUCGUGCUGCAGCAGGCUGGCAGGGAGGCAGGCGGGUGGUAAUGGUCGUCCUGCAGCAUGCUGGUUACCGACCAGCUUCUCUGGCAGUGGAAACUGAGAGGAGAGUGUGUUUCCGUGUGUGAAGGUGUGGGGAUGAGGGUUGAAAUGAAGGAUAGGCUCUGAAAUCCAAACAAAACCUAGAGUGGAAAGCUCUGCUCGCGGCUCCCUAAAGACCGCAAUGUCUUUGAUUAGAGUUUUCUUUGAGUCGCUGGUUGGACAACAACAUUUUGUAAAGAAAUAACACAAUGUGAUCCUUCUGUAUAAUCAGAAUACAAGUUUGGGGGAUGAUAUUUUUAACAGCCCAGCCCAGGGGAAAGAACAGAGCACAGUGAGUCUCAGGGAAAAACAAAGAAACAAAAGAAUAGACAACAACAGUGUGGGCAAACAGAGUUGUGUUCCAGUCAUUUGGGCUCUUAAAUGACUUAAUUCAGGCCCACAUAUUACAAGAAUAUAACAAUGACGCUAAAAAUGUUGACUCAUUAAACGGCUAAGCACACUGGAGGAAAGGUUAGAGGGUGAUUGAACAGACUUAAGCUACUGUGUAAGCUAAUCUACAAUUCCCCUCAGAAUUCAGGGGUUCUCAAUACUGAUCCUUUCGGUGUGUCUGGAGGUUUCAGUUUACAGUCAUUGUGAUCAUUGCAAUUGUCUCUGAUUAUGUCAAAAAAUACCUGCAAUGCACACUUGAAAAGUGGCGCCCCUUUAGUCAGCAGGCAGGAGCUGCUGCUGAACAAGAAGACAUGUGAGUGCAAAUGCAGAUGAACACGUGCCAGCCUCCAAUCGGAAUAAAUCCGAUAAACCAAAAAACGUACAAGAUCUGAGUCCGCCUCAACUCUUCUGAGCCAGACAGCAGUCAAUGCUCUUGUUUGACAAUGAAAAAAGUGCAAGUCAAAAGUGCUUGUUUUGUAAACUGCUAUAAUCUGUGACCCGACGUGGGUACAUACUAUACGAUACGAUACGAUACGAUACAAUAUAUGAUACACGAUACAAUAUGAUACGAUACGAUACAAUAUGAUACGAUACGAUACAAUACGGUAUGAUACGAUACAACAAGAUACAAUAUGGUACAAUACGGUAUGAUAUGAUACAAUACAAUAAGAUACGGUAUGAUAAAAUACACUUAAUUUGUCUUGGAAAUUUGUCUUGGACUCCAAGAGCUGCACAGGUUAAGUUGCCAACUGAUGACACAAAACCUAACAAAGACACAGUCACACAACCCACGCACAAGACACAUACACACAUUGCACAAGAAUCCUACAGAAAUGGUCAAAAGAAACACACCGGCAAUAGGAUAUGGUAUGAUACAUUAUGAUACAAUAUGAUACGAUAAAAUAGGAUAUGGUACAAACGGGAUAAUACAAUACGAUGCGAUACAAUAAGAUAUGGUAUGAUAUGAUACGAUAUAAUAUGAUACAAUAGGAUAUGGUAUGAUACGAUACGAUACAAUAGGAUACGGUAUAAUACAAUAAGAUAUGAUACUAUAUGACACAAUAGGAUAUGGUAUGAUACGAUACGAUACACUUUAGAUGUCUUGGAAAUUUGUCUUGGACUCCAAGAGCUGCACAGGUAAAGCUGCCAACUGAUGACGCAAAGUACCAGACCUAACAUAGACACAGUCACACAACCCACGCACAAGGCACAUACACACAUUGCACAAGAAUCCCACAGAAAUGGUCAAAAGAAACACACCGACAAUAGACAACAAUGACAAAGAACAAGACCCAGCAGGGUGAGACAAGGCAAACACGACCAAAAAGAAAAUGACAAGAUAACACCAUGACAUUAUUGCACGAUCCUACUAUAUAUUAGGAAAGAUAAUUCAAAAACCUAAUUGAGGUGGGCAAGAGUGAGUUCUUAAAACGGUUCAGUCUACCUUUAACAACUCUAUCGACUACAAGUUGGUAGGAGUUUAUACAUGCACUUUGUCCAACUGAAACUGGGCUUUCAAAAGGUAUACAGACACAAAAGUUUGACUAAAAUCACGUUAAACUUUCACUUCUCAUAGUUGGACUACCAUACCUGGAUCAUGCAGUUGGAGAUAGAUUUAUUCUAGCAUGUCUGCCGCUCAAUGGAGUUGAAACUGGCCCGAGAGAUUUCAGUUUGAUUUCUAUUCAAGCUGCUACUUUCCAUAUACCUAUUGUUACAAUUGAUUAAUAACACCUGAGUCGAAUUUAUGUGAAAAGUGUUGAUUUUUUUAGUUGAAAACUGCGGUUUGAACUCAAGUUUGACAAGGACAAAGAGACAGAAAAGGCGACAGGGACGGUUCUGGGAAAAGAGGAGAGCAGUCAGAGAAAAGGUUGAAGUUGGUUCUGAAGGAGGGAUUACGACUAUGAAUCAGGAUAAAGGAAGGUUAAAGUGAGAAAAAAAGGGGGAGUUUUGAGUGAGGGUGGUUAGAGGGGGAGUGAAAGCUGAGGAGGAGGGGGGGCAGAGCAAAGAGAUGGCAGGCUUUUUGUGGCUGGCUGGAUGUCGAUCGGAGCAAAGCAGAGAGAAAUCACUUGCUCAUGGAGUCCGCCCAGCAUGACUUCAUGUUUUCUGGAGUCUCGGCCAAGGGCAGAGAAAGACUGGAGUGCACACACACAGACACACACACACACGCAGGCAAGGAAACAGUAAGAGGAGCUAUGAAGCCCAGCAAAGCACAUCAUCAUCUAUGAAGCAGAAACACAGGGAGGCGAUGCCGCACAGGGAGGGAAGUGGAGACAGGGGGAGCGUGGACGAAACGUAUAGCUCACAGAGCUCUUUAAUGUCAUGGAAAAUGCCCUCGCAGGCAUGCCUCAUCUCCAAAGCACCAUCCGCCCUUCCCGCCCUUCCUCCUCACCUUCCUCCAGCUCAUUGAUCGUACACAGACAGCCAGGCAGGCAGGCAGACUCACUGCGAACCAAUGACACUCACACCCUCUCCCUGCAGCCACCCACCUACUACCCAUCAACCUCCACACACACACACACACACACACACACACACACACACACACACACACACACACACACACACACACACACACACACACACACACACACACACAUGCUCGGCUAAUUAAUAGCCACUGUUCAGUGAGACAAGGUCAUGCUGCCAGGGGGCUAAACACAAUGCCAUGAAGCUGACACCUCUGCUGGGACACAAGACAGAAUCUGUCAAUGAACCCCUCCAUUGUCUCGUCCCUGUGGACGAUGUCCUCCAUCCCCACCCUCCUCCUCCAACACCACCCACGCCCACCCACCCUCAGGUUAUUUUUUUGUUUGUUUCUUCGGGGGAUUUAUUGGUGCUCGCCUCUUGAAAAACAGUCGGAGAUUGUUUCUUCAAUGCUGUGAAGGUCAUUAAAUCCCACAUCAGGUCCAAGUGGGUGGAACCAUCUGCUGCCUGCUUGGUACAGUUUUUCCCCCAGUAUAUGUAUGUAUCUAGUGGAUGCACAGAUUUGUUGAGGUCUUUCUUUAGAUGGUGGUCCUGAAGGCCAACUGCACAUACAUUUUAUAACACGUAAAAUAUUUCACUAAAUUCAAAACUUUUCCUCAUGAAAACUAGAAAAAAAUCACACAAUGCAAAACAGUUUCACACAACACGACGUGAGCCAAUUUCAUAACAUCCCUAAAAAAAAGGAGAUUUUUGUCAUUAUCUAAACUGAUUGAAAUUCAAACUAAUUCCUCUUUCUGAUGUACAAAAACUUACUAGAAUACUAGAAAAAAUAUUUAACAGUGCCAGGUUCUAGAGUAUGGAGGCAGCUGAGCCUCCCUAAAGUAACUGCUCCUUUUUUCAUUUUUGAUCUAACAUAAAAAAAUCUUUGAUAUAUUUAAUGGUUAAAAGUCAGAAAAAUGUUUUUGAUUUUUCAUUUGUCAGAUGACACUGUAGUGUGUAGUGGAAAAGGGGAGCUAAAACCGCUUUGUCCACAACGAGGUUCCUAAAUACAUUUUUUUGUUUUGAGAAUUUUUUGUGUUGCUGACCUACAGGGCCAUCGUAAGUUGGGGUUGUGAUAGCCAUAGCCUACCCAAAACCCCAAACCAAGAUUGGCUACUUUUCUUGUUAGAGAAAUGUUGUAAUCAACAGUUUUGGUUUUGUUUGAACAGCAGCAAGUAACUUCUUUUUGCAAUGCAAUGUGGGAGAUUUCUGCAGGUGGCAUUUAACAUGGAGACUUUGAACAAACGUCCUCUUUUUGAGUCCUUACAGAAUGAAGUUCAGCAGAUUCAAAGCUGCCAUGAGGAAAGUUUGAUAAGUGUUGAUUUUGGCGCCCCCUGUGGACAAAGUUGUAGUCUAUUGGCUUGUCGUCUUUUUAGACAAAAACCUCAUCCUGUUGUCUUUUAACUAUAAACAUGUAUCACGCACUGCGGUGUGGAAAGUCAAAACAGGCUGUCUUUACAGCCAGCUGUCAAUUAUCGGAUCUGAAACCUACUAUCUUCACAUCUUUUUAUGCUCUAAGAUUUCCUACAAGUUUGUUUCUGAUGGUCUUGUUUGCUUUUGAAGGUCAAAUAGAGGCACCAUCGACAGUCUGAGAUUGUUUCUCAUCAGUUAAAAACUUCAAAUGUCCCCACUCCUAUUUAGUUACUUUUUAGAGUACAAUAUUAAACAAAAAUAAACAUACAUAUUCUUUUAAAUGUAGAACUAAAAGCUGAUGUAAUUUGUGGAUAGAUAGAUAGA